rnacentral:rRNA from 1 species
GACGAACGCUGGCGGCGUGCCUAACACAUGCAAGUCGAGCGGGGUUGAGGCGAGAGGUAACUCGAGCUUCUACCUAGCGGCGGACGGGUGAGUAACGCGUGGGCAACCUGCCUCAAGGUUUGGGAUAACAGCCCGAAAGGGCUGCUAAUACCGGAUAUGCCUAUGGCCUCGCAUGGGGCUAUGAGCAAAGGGGAAACCCGCCUUGAGAUGGGCCCGCGUCCCAUCAGCUAGUUGGUGAGGUAACAGCUCACCAAGGCGACGACGGGUAGCCGGCCUGAGAGGGCGACCGGCCACACUGGGACUGAGACACGGCCCAGACUCCUACGGGAGGCAGCAGUGGGGAAUAUUGCACAAUGGGCGCAAGCCUGAUGCAGCGACGCCGCGUGAGGGAUGAAGGCCUCGGGUUGUAACCUACUUCUAGCGCCGAAGAAGACGAAAGUAGACGGUAGGCGGCAGAAGAAGACACCGGCUAACUACGUGCCAGCAGCCGCGGUAACU